rnacentral:rRNA from 1 species
UAGUCCACGCCGUAAACGAUGGAUACUAGGCGUCCGGGAAGUUAACCUCCUGGGUGCUACAGCUAACGCGUUAAGUAUCCCGCCUGGGGAGUACGGUCGCAAGGCUAAAACUCAAAGGAAUUGACGGGGGCCCGCACAAGCGGUGGAGUAUGUGGUUUAAUUCGAUGAUACGCGAGGAACCUUACCAGGGCUUAAAUGUAGGAUGCAUUAGGUAGAGAUACUUAUUUCUUCGGACUUCUUACAAGGUGCUGCAUGGUUGUCGUCAGCUCGUGCCGUGAGGUGUCAGGUUAAGUCCUAUAACGAGCGCAACCCUUGUCGUUAGUUGCCAGCAUUUAAAGAUGGGGACUCUAACGAGACUGCCGGUGCAAACCGAGAGGAAGGUGGGGAUGACGUCAAAUCAUCACGGCCCUUACGUCCUGGGCUACACACGUGCUACAAUGGUAUGGACAGAGAGCAGCCACUAUGCGAAUAGGAGCGAAUCUACAAACCAUAUCACAGUUCGGAUCGGAGU